AUGCUGGAGGCGAAGUCCUUGGGGUCAGGCAGGUUGAACCCGCUCUCCAUCAGCGCCGUCUGGUACACCAGCCUCGCCGUCUGCUUCAGGCCCUCGCCCUGGAAGACUGUACUACUUACAUCGCUGUCCUGGGCGACCUUGUCGCGGAGCUCCUUGAUGAUGGGGUGCCUGGGGUUGAUCUCCAGGACCCUCUUGCCGCGCAUGUAG
rnacentral:rRNA from 1 species